GACAAUUCUUAAUAGAAAGGAAUAUGCCUUUAAGGAUAUCCUUUAAAAUAAAUUAAGGUGCACCUCACCAAACAAAAUAUAUAAAUUGUGUGUCCCUCUUUAAAUACUCCUAUUAAUUUUUUAGAGCUCGGGACGAGCCAUUUAGUAAAUCUUCAUGGCCUCCCGCAAAGUUAAUAACACGUUAGUUGCUUUAGGCGCGUUCUUUAAUAAUUUCACUUUCCUAACUUCGGGUGUGCAUUUCAUGUGACCCAUCUCCAAUUCUCGACAACGUUAAAUGAAAUGUGUCAUGGAUCGGGGGUACAUUUCAUGUGGCGCGAUUCAAAGACGCAUUUUAAAUAACGUUGAAUCUUCCUAAAAAUUAAAUAAAAGCAGUUUAAUAAGUUAAAAUGUACCAUAAGCUAAAGCAUGUAUUAAAAUUAGGUAAUUAAGCCAAAUAUAAUAGUUGAGCGACCGUGCUAGAACCACGGAACUCGGGA
rnacentral:lncRNA from 1 species